GUCAAUUGGCCAUGCUGAUAGAGGCUGAUGGGAAUUGUAGUUCCUGAACAUCUGGAGAGCCGCAGGUUCCCUACCCCUGGUCUAGAGAACCUGGUUAAACUGAUACCUGCUGCAGUCAGCAGUAGAUGGCAAUUAAGAAGGCUAAUAAACUGUAGCUGUAAAUCAUGGGGCAAUGGAAGAAGAAAAGCCAUUGGUGAAGGCACCGUUAAAUCUGUGCAUCAGGACAUCAGUGUGACUCACAUGUUGCAGACCGCUGGCAGGAGGAAUCUCCUUUUAUUCACAUCCAGAUGUGUCUUUUCUUGCCCAAAUUGUCCUGCGUUUCAGUGCUGUCGUGAUACUGCAUGGAUUUAAAAGGGUUGAGUUGGAUGCCUUUCCUCCCAGGGUGUGGGGGGUGUAUAAUCAUGGGAAGGAGAGAAAAGACUGGAAUGGAAUCUAUCUAGUCAAGUGCAUUCUAUCCCUGUGUUUUCCUUAGUAGGAACUAGCAUCUUACAAAAAUGUAAUUUCAGUACAACGAGAAAGGGCCAGAAAUUAUAAAAAUACACUGAGUAUAAUAACAAUAAAUUAAAAUUGCUUUAUCCUGCUAAAACCCCUGUAGGUUAUCCAUGAUGUUCCUUUUGUCAGGCCAUAAUUUGGGGGUUCUUUUAUGCUCUAACCUUAGUUAACCAUUGUUAAUUUGACAACUUUUUUUUCAAUUUUCCCUUGAGAAAGAGGGGGGGGGGAAAUUGUAGCAAUUACUGUUUUCUUUCCCAGCUCUUACAAAUUCCUGGUAGGGGUAGAUGUUUGUGUUGCAAACAGCAACAGUCGUUCUAAUGUCAACUCAUUAGGUUGUUUUGGAACUUCUUUCUGAACAUUUUUUAUUUCCGCAGAUGAUCUCAAGAGUUGUAGUAUGAAAAAUGAACAGUCUUAAAUCCGAA